UUUUCCACGAAGCUCCUCACUCUGCUUUUUCUCUGGAAUGUUAAUCUUUUAAAGGGUUCUGGGCUACAAGUCUCUUUCUUUAAGCAUGUCAAACAUCUCCUUCCUAACAGUCUGAUUGGUGUUCCCGUAUAGGUUACUGUAGGGUAAAAGUUAAUCAGGCUUUAUAUGCCACUAGCCUCUAUGGCUAUCAACUGUGGCCUUGACUGUGUUAAUGCAGAAGGCGCUUAAGUCACGCAUACCUGAUGGUGGACAUCUGCGCCUCGUAAGUGGGCAUACCUGAGCCUAAAGGCCAGCGAUGUAAGGCCAGCGAUGUAAGGGCCAGCCUAAAGGCCAGCGAUGUACUCAGAAACAGACAACCCCUGCAAGAGGACGAGUGUUGUGACUACAGAGGAGGAAACACUGGAAAUUUGUGCAGUCACAAAGAAGUGUCUACUCAUCUCAGAAACUCACAGAAGCCUUUCCUAGCUCUCUGAGAGCAGCAUACUUACAGAAUGAACAAAAGGAAGACUUGUGCUUCAGAGAUGUGAGAUGCUAUGAUGUGAUUCAUCAGGCCUUUCUUCUGGAAAAGAUUUUGCUGUGUUUCUAUUUAUUUUUUUGAGGUCAGAGAUGAAGAUUAAAGAUGAAAAAUGUGACUUGACCAAGAUCAUAAAACUAGUUUUUCCUGAGAGCACUCCUGAAAUAAAUUAACUCCACCAGAAUCCAGACAAGCUGUCAUUCAACCCUACACUGAAAUACAAAGGAGUCCUAUGCAAGAAGCCACAAACAUCCAAGUCGAAGGCUGGAAGCACUGCUUGAGAAGCAAGAUGCAGUCUGAGUCAUAGGUAAUGGCUGGUGUAAAGAAAAGAGCAGAGGAAUAAUCAGAAAGAGAAUGCCAAGUAUUGAAAGUAAGAGUCAGAGUGAAAGAGAUGCUACCCAUUAGAAAAUAAAUCAAAGUACU